rfam:Camelus ferus unplaced genomic scaffold scaffold985, whole genome shotgun sequence.
GAGGGUAUAGCUCAGUGGUAAAGCACAUGCUUAGCAUGCACAAGGUCCUGGGUUCAAUCCCCAGUACCUCCA